CAGCCGCCACGGGAAUACGAAGGGUGCAAGCGUUAAUCGGAAUUACUGGGCGUAAAGCGUGCGUAGGCGGUUUGUUAAGUCCGUUGUGAAAGCCCUGGGCUCAACCUGGGAAUUGCAGUGGAUACUGGGUCACUAGAGUGUGGUAGAGGAUAGUGGAAUUUCCGGUGUAGCAGUGUAAUGCGUAGAGAUCGGAAGGAACAUCUGUGGCGAAGGCGACUAUCUGGGCCAACACUGACACUGAGGCACGAAAGCGUGGGGAGCAAACAGGAUUAGAUACCCGCGUAGUCCCUGUCUCUUAUAC
rnacentral:rRNA from 1 species